GCCCAACGGGGUAAGCUACUCACUCCUUGCAAGUAAAAAUUUACUACUCAACUGGGCAUUGUCUGUCUCCUUUGUCAGUAGGUGAUCUCAGAAUUUUAGUAACAACUUGGUCCUUCGAGCUGGAUCCCAACAUCUCUGACUGGAGGACGGGGAGGAACUGGUGAAGCUGAAAAACCUGUGCACAGUCUGGUCUGGGACCUGAAAGACCUCCACCGCAGAGUUCGGUGAAAAAAGAGGCCAGCUGAACCAGGACACCUCCGUCCAACAGUGGGGUGACGGGAUCCGAACAACAGUAAACGAGACCCUGCCUGCCUAGGAAGACACCAGUUGAGUGAGUAUGAGUGUGUUUGUGAGGUCGCGCGCAUGAACCGUUCUUGAGUGAACCGUUCUUGAGUGAGAGGUCGCUGCCCAGAGGGGUAAGCUACUCACUCCUAGUAAAGACCUGAUUAGGGAGGUCUCUAAAGACAAACCUCGCGCAUGCACGUUAAAGAUAAAGCUAGCAAAGAACGGUGUGAUUGGUGUGUGAUUGAUGAGUGAUUGGGUUCGCGACAGCCGAAGCAGCGGGCAGAGGGUAAACCUGAUCGGUGUCAACUGACUCUGCUGACUGUUGAAGUAGGCUGUUGGCGUUCCAUUGGCAAAUAUGAUAAGUAGUGGCAGUAAAAAGAUUGAACCUCAGCUGAUGGCUGAUGCAAAAUACAUGCAUAAACGUUACCCUGGCUCUUGUGAACAAUUGAGCAUGUGGCAAAAGAAAUAUGAUUUCAAUGAAACUCGGAGUAACUGCUUGUACUCUGUUGGUAAAAAAAGAAAAAAAAAUGAUUGGGUGCAAAAAAAAAAUGGUUGGUCUGAACUCAAGUGACCUUUCAGCAUAGCUGGACUAUGUAAGAUAGAUAGAUAGAUAGAUAGAUAGAUAGAUUGAUCCCAACCAGGGAAAUUCUGGUGUUCCAGCAGCAACAGUAGAAACAUACAAUAAAGUUAAAUAAAAAAGAAUAAAGGCUAAUUAUAUACAGUAAAGUCUAUAAAGACUAAAAACUAAAAUAUACAAUAAGGGCUAACCUAAGAAAAAGAGAUAUGAGAUGUGAAAUAUACAGAUGCUAUGUUAACACAGAAGCAGUAUGAUGAAAAUUAUGGUUGUAAUUCUUCAGCACCGUCACAACAAGCACAACAACAACAGGCAGGACAGAGACGUGCUACGUCUCCCCCUUACUGCCUCGCCACCACCUUUUGCGGCAGCACAGGCAGAGCUGGAUGCGCUUAAAGGUGCUGUAGGUGGAAAGGAAAGGAAAGAAUGGAAAUGCAGGGAAGAAAAAAUGAGGAGAGCAUGGAAAUGUUUGAACUGGAGGUUUAUUUGAAGCAAAUUGAUAAAAAAAAAAAAAAAAAAAAAACACUAUUGACCUCUAUGCAAUGGAUAAGCUGAUCACCUUUCUUUGUGAUUCUGGAGCUGAUAAAAUAGUGGUGAAUGAUCCCUGGUUCUCAGAUAAACUGUCAAAUGAUUUUGUCUGGGACAGAUCAGCAAAUGGUCUGAUGUCAAAGGAAUUUCUGACACAUAACAUGUUUGUGAAGGAUGACCUUACUGGCAAAAGCACAAAGACACAACUCCUAUAUUCUAGCAGCUGCCCGGUUAAUCUUUUGAGCAGACAAACAAUGUGCGAACUGAGCUUGGCCUUGCUUCCCACACUCAAGGGCCUGAUAGUUAAACAAGUAAACAACGGUGAAGACGUUUUUGUUAUGGAAGGGCAAGGGCAGCCCCAAUAUUUUUACACUUUGGACUUGUGUGCUUCAGCAGUCAGUGACAUCCCAGGCACAUUGAUAGAAAUGGCAGAUGCAUGUGUUCCAUCCAUGUCAGAAAAACACAGCUACACAGACUUACACUGUACAAUGUACUUCCCUCAUUCUGGUGAACCAGAUAAAAAAUAUGAAGCUAAACUUGCUCAGCUGACAGAUCUACAACUCAGUUUAACAGACAUGGUGUGGGACAAACACGGAAACUCUGUGGUUGCAGUUUCACUAACUAACGCACAGCAGCUCCUGUACAGAGAACAUGCACCUCCACAUGUAUCUCUUACUUGUAACCCCAACACAGAAUGGAGAGACCUCUACCGUCUCCUGUGUCAGACAAAAAUUGGCACUGAUUGGCACCCUGUGCAGACCCACCUUUUCUACAGUCCUACAUAUGGACUGUACAAACAACGCCUCAAUUGGUGCACGCGAGUGGAAACUGCAACCCACUUGAUACAAUAAUAAUAAUAAUAAUGAUAAAUCCUAUUUGUAACGCACUUUACAUUUAACAAUCUUAAAGUGCUACAGAGGAGAAAGAAGAAAGAUAUCAGAAAGUUGAGAAGAAGUGUCUUUGUCCUCUGAGGAGGAAGAGCAAUUGACUGAGAUAAAUCCAAACUUGUGGUCCUCUGGACCCGCUGAUGUUGGUUUGAUAAAAGGUGCAACACUGGUACAAAUUACACCAAAGACUUCUUUUAGGCCAUGUGUUAAACAAUAUCCCCUAAAGAGAGAUGCUGAAGAAGGCAUAUCAGAUACUACAGAUGCGUUGGUAAAGGCAAGUGUUAUAGUUCCUUGCCCUGAUUCACCUGUUAAUACUCCAUUGUUCCCUGUAAAGAAAGCAGCCAUCCCAGUGCAUCCCGACAGUCAAUUCUGGGUUGCCUUCAUGUAUAAACGGAAGAAGUGGACGUUCACAUGUUCAGCCCAAGGUUACUGUGAAUCUCCCACCAUUUUCUCACAAUGGAUGUCAUCUAAUCUAGCUAAAUUUUCACCACUCUGUGUUAGUCAAUUACUGCUGUAUGUUGAUGACAUAUUGUUAGCUUCCCCUACAGAAAAAGCAUGUCAAAUUGACACGAAAGCCUUGCUAAAAUUCUUAGCUGAUAAUGGGCACAAAGUCAAUAAAGCAAAAUUGCAGCUAUGGCGUCCUACAGUUAAAUAUUUGGGUGACAACAUUAGUGCAGACGGAAAAGCCUUAGAUCCGAAAUGUAAACAAGUCAUUCUUAAUGCACCUAAACCAUGCACCAAACAACUGUUCAACAAUUGUUGUUCAAAUGGUGUAUUGUAAAAAUGGUCACAUGUCAUCAGUCCUGUUGCAGUUUUAUGGUGACAAGUUGAGACCCUUGGCAUACUAUUCUUCCAAAUCAGAUUCUGUCACCUUAGCGUUCCCAGUAUGUGUCCAGCCGGUUAUUGUUGCUUCAAUGGCCGUUCAGGCAUCUUCUAGUAUUGUUCACUUUCACCCCCUUACAGUAUAGCCUUUUCUGACACAGAUUCCAUUGAGUCUGAACGAUCUUUUUGGUUGUCUCAUGGUGCUUCAAUUGUUGAUGGUAUUUACUUCUCUCCUGA